AGUCAAGUAAUUAAGUGCAUGUGGUGGAUGCCUUGGCAGUCAGAGGCGAUGAAAGACGUGAUAGCCUGCGAAAAGCUCCGGGGAGGCGGCAAAUAUCCUUUGAUCCGGAGAUGUCUGAAUGGGGGAACCCACCUACUUUAAGGUAGGUAUUGCAACAUGAAUACAUAGUGUUGCAAGGCGAACGAGGGGAAGUGAAACAUCUCAGUACCCUUAGGAAAAGAAAUCAAUUGAGAUUCCCUCAGUAGCGGCGAGCGAACGGGGAUCAGCCCAUUAAGUUAUGUGUGUUUUAGUGGAACGCUCUGGGAAGUGCGAACGUAGAGGGUGAUAUUCCCGUACACGAAAGGGCACACAUAAUGAUGACGAGUAGGGCGAGGCACGUGAAACCUUGUCUGAAUAUGGGGGGACCAUCCUCCAAGGCUAAAUACUCCUGACUGACCGAUAGUGAACCAGUACCGUGAGGGAAAGGCGAAAAGAACCCCUGUGAGGGGAGUGAAAUAGAUCCUGAAACCGCAUGCAUACAAGCAGUGGGAGCACCUUCGUGGUGUGACUGCGUACCUUUUGUAUAAUGGGUCAGCGACUUAUAUUCAGUAGCGAGGUUAACCGUAUAGGGGAGCCGUAGAGAAAUCGAGUCUUAAUAGGGCGUUUAGUUGCUGGGUAUAGACCCGAAACCAGGCGAUCUAUCCAUGAGCAGGUUGAAGGUUGGGUAACACUAACUGGAGGACCGAACCCACUGUCGUUGAAAAGCCAGGGGAUGACUUGUGGAUAGGGGUGAAAGGCUAAUCAAGCCUGGUGAUAGCUGGUUCUCCCCGAAAGCUAUUUAGGUAGCGCCUCGGACGAAUACCAUAGGGGGUAGAGCACUGUUUCGGCUAGGGGGUCAUCCCGACUUACCAAACCGAUGCAAACUCCGAAUACCUAUGAGUACUAUCCGGGAGACAGACUGCGGGUGCUAACGUCCGUAGUCAAGAGGAAAACAAUCCAGACCGCCAGCUAAGGCCCCAAAAUCAUAGUUAAGUGGGAAACGAUGUGGGAAGGCAUAGACAGCUAGGAGGUUGGCUUAGAAGCAGCCACCCUUUAAAGAAAGCGUAAUAGCUCACUAGUCGAGUCGGCCUGCGCGGAAGAUGUAACGGGGCUAAAACUAUGUGCCGAAGCUGCGGAUUUGACAUUAGUCAAGUGGUAGGGGAGCGUUCUGUAAGCCGAUGAAGGUGUGUUGAGAAGCAUGCUGGAGGUAUCAGAAGUGCGAAUGCUGACGUGAGUAACGACAAAACGGGUGAAAAACCCGUUCGCCGAAAGACCAAGGGUUCCAGUCCAACGUUAAUCGGGGCUGGGUGAGUCGACCCCUAAGGCGAGGCCGAAAGGCGUAGUCGAUGGGAAAAUGGUUAAUAUUCCAUUACUUCUGUGUAAUGCGAUGAGAGGACGGAGAAGGCUAAAUCAGCCUGGCGUUGGUUGUCCAGGUGAAAGGAUGUAGGCAUGUAUCUUAGGCAAAUCCGGGGUACUCUAUGCUGAGAUCUGAUAGCAAGCUGUACUUGUACAGCGAAGUGGUUGAUGCCAUGCUUCCAGGAAAAGUCUCUAAGCUUCAGUUACACAGGAAUCGUACCCGAAACCGACACAGGUGGUCAGGUCGAGUAGACCAAGGCGCUUGAGAGAACUCUGCUGAAGGAACUAGGCAAAAUGGUACCGUAACUUCGGGAGAAGGUACGCUGUUGUUGGUGAUGGAACUCGCUUCCUGAGCUGACGACAGCCGCAGAAACCAGGCCGCUGCAACUGUUUAUUAAAAACAUAGCACUCUGCAAACACGAAAGUGGACGUAUAGGGUGUGAUGCCUGCCCGGUGCUGGAAGGUUAAUUGAUGGGGUUAGCGUAAGCGAAGCUCUUGAUCGAAGCCCCAGUAAACGGCGGCCGUAACUAUAACGGUCCUAAGGUAGCGAAAUUCCUUGUCGGGUAAGUUCCGACCUGCACGAAUGGCAUAAUGAUGGCGGCGCUGUCUCCAGCAGAGGCUCAGUGAAAUCGAAAUCGCUGUGAAGAUGCAGUGUACCCGCGGCUAGACGGAAAGACCCCGUGAACCUUUACUGCAGCUUGACACUGAACUUUGACCUUACUUGUGUAGGAUAGGUGGGAGGCUUUGAAGCUGGAACGCUAGUUCCAGUGGAGCCGUCCUUGAAAUACCACCCUGGUAAUGUUGAGGUUCUAACUCUGUCCCGUGAUCCGGGACGAGGACCGUGUCUGGUGGGUAGUUUGACUGGGGCGGUCUCCUCCUAAAGAGUAACGGAGGAGUACGAAGGUGCGCUCAGCGUGGUCGGAAAUCACGCGUAGAGUAUAAAGGCAAAAGCGCGCUUAACUGCGAGACCCACAAGUCGAGCAGGUACGAAAGUAGGUCUUAGUGAUCCGGUGGUUCUGUAUGGAAGGGCCAUCGCUCAACGGAUAAAAGGUACUCUGGGGAUAACAGGCUGAUACCGCCCAAGAGUUCAUAUCGACGGCGGUGUUUGGCACCUCGAUGUCGGCUCAUCUCAUCCUGGGGCUGAAGCAGGUCCCAAGGGUAUGGCUGUUCGCCAUUUAAAGAGGUACGCGAGCUGGGUUUAGAACGUCGUGAGACAGUUCGGUCCCUAUCUACCGUGGGCGCUGGAAAUUUGAGAGGAUCUGCUCCUAGUACGAGAGGACCAGAGUGGACGAACCUCUGGUGUACCGGUUGUGACGCCAGUCGCAUCGCCGGGUAGCUAUGUUCGGAAGGGAUAACCGCUGAAAGCAUCUAAGCGGGAAGCCUACCUCAAGAUAAGAUUUCCCUAGGACUUUAUGUCCUCUAAAGAGCCGUUCGAGACUAGGACGUUGAUAGGUUGGAUGUGGAAGCAUAGUGAUAUGUGAAGCUGACCAAUACUAAUUGCUCGUGAGGCUUGACUAU
rnacentral:rRNA from 1 species